rnacentral:rRNA from 1 species
AACGUAGGGGGCGAGCGUUGCCCGGAUUCACUGGGCGUAAAGCGGGUGUAGGCGGUUCUUUAAGUCGGAUGUGAAAUCCUGCGGCUCAACCGCGGAACUGCAUCCGAUACUGGGGAACUUGAGGACGGUAGAGGUCGGUGGAAUACCCUGUGUACCGGUGAAAUGGGCAGAUAUAGGGUGGAACACCAGUGGCGAAGGCGGCCGACUGGGCCGAUCCUGACGCUGAGACCCGAAAGCCAGGGUAGCGAACCGG